rnacentral:rRNA from 1 species
UACGUAGGGGGCAAGCGUUGUCCGGAAUCAUUGGGCGUAAAGAGCGUGUAGGCGGUCCGGUAAGUCAGCUGUGAAAGUCAAGGGCUCAACCCUUGAAUGCCGGUUGAUACUGUCGGGCUAGAGUCCGGAAGAGGCGAGUGGAAUUCCCGGUGUAGCGGUGAAAUGCGCAGAUAUCGGGAGGAACACCAACGGCGAAGGCAGCUCGCUGGGACGGUACUGACGCUGAGACGCGAAAGCGUGGGGAGCAAACAGG